rnacentral:rRNA from 1 species
UACAGAGGUCUCAAGCGUUGUUCGGAAUUACUGGGCGUAAAGGGUGCGCAGGCUGCGCGGCAAGUCAAAUGUGAAAUUCAGGGGCUCAACCCCUGCAUUGCGCUUGAUACUUCCGCGCUCGAGCCUUGGAAAGGAGUCUGGAAUUCUCGGUGUAGCAGUGAAAUGCGUAGAUAUCAGGAGGAACACCGGUGGCGAAGGCGGUUCUCUGGGCAUGUCCUGACGCUGAGGAGCGAAAGUGUGGGGAGCGAACAGG